AAAACAGAUAAUGCCAGUCACCCAUCCAUCCACCCUGUCUUCAACUGUUUUUUUAGAGUCUAAGCAGAGAUGCCUAGACCUCCCUCAUCACAGAAACAUCCUCAGUUCUGCUGCUGGAGGAACGCCAAGGCCCUCCCAGGCCAUCUAAAAGACACAGUUCCUCCAGCACAUCCUGGGUCUUGGAAUGCCUCUACAGGAAGGCCUCCAACAGAGAUACUUGAGCCGCCUCAACUGGCUGUCAUUGUGGAAGAGCAGCGGCUCUACUCCGAGCUCCACCCGGUAUCUCUAAAGCAGUGCUUCCCCACCUCAGGUCUUUGGGGAACACUGGCCUGCAUUUUUUCAACCCUACCUUGCUCUAACACAUCUGCCUUUGAUGACUUCCAUCAUCAGGCUUCUGCAGAGCUUGAUGAUGAGCUGAAUCAGGUGUGCUCAAGCAGGGCAACAUGGAAAGCAUGCAGAGCACGCAGCCACUCAGAGGAAGUUCAUGAUUGUCAGCAGACUUUGUCUUGAUUAAGCAAACUUGGAGAAAUCUGAUUUCUCUGGGUAAAAUCCACCCAUGAAACCAAGUUUCUGGUUAAGAUUACCCAAGAAAGACAAUCAGAGCCUAUAGGUCUGGUUUCACCAAUGAAGAAGAAGAGGAGGACGCAUUGGAGCAAAGGAGACGAGCAAGGGAGGAAAGGAAGAAGAUGAGAGACUUAGAGGAGUCUGGUGGAACUGAUGUAAACAAUACCAACAGCUUGCCAGAGAUCAACUCCACGGAUAAUGCUGGUGCUGAUGAUGACCAGGCCCUGCUGGAGCGCCUGGCCAAAAGGGAGGAGCGCCGGCAGAAGAGAAUGAAGGAAGCUUUGGAGAGACAGAAAGAACUGGACCCUACAGUUGGCACCCCCAAUGGCACAGACAGCACGCAGGAGGAGCAGUCCUCCUUUACUAACGGCAACUCACAGCAGGAUGCUCAGGAUGCAGAUGGGAAAAAGAAGUCUGUUCAGGAGGAGGUGGCAAAAACAGAUACAAACUCCUGGAGUAGGCAGGAAGAUGAGAAAGUAGAGGAUGGGAAGAAUUCUGAAGAAUCAAGCACAACACUCCCCCACAAUGAGAAGGAUGCUAACAGUACGGCUGAAGCGACAGAGGCGGAGCCUGAACAGCUGAAGUCAGAAACUAAGAAGGCUGAGGAAAAACCUGCACCUGAUGUCGACAACGAGGAGAAAGAAAGGAGCAGGGAAGAAGAAAAGGAAAAACAGCUAAAGGAAAUUGAAGAAAAACUACGGCAAGAAGAGGAGGAGGAGGAGCAGCAAAAAAUAAGAAUGGAAGAACAGCUCAAAAAGGAAGAGGAAGAACGGCAAGAAAGUGAGGAGAAUGAGAGGAAGAGGAGGGAAGAAGAUGAGAGACAACAAAUGGAAAAGGAGGAGAAGCUUAAAGAGGAGAAAGAAGAGAAACAAAGAAAAGAGAUGGAGGAGAGAAUAAAAAAAGAGGAUGAGGAGGAGAGAGAAAGACAAAGAAGAGAAAAUGAAGAAGAACAGAAGAGGGAAAUUGAAAGACUAAAACAGGAGGAAGAGGAAAAAUACAAAAAAGAGAUGGAAGAGAAGAAGAAGAAAGAGGAAGAAGAGGAAAAGCAGAGGAUAGAAAUGGAAGAGAAGAAAAGGGAAGAGGAGGAGAGGCAGAAAAAAGAGCAGGAAGAGAAGAAGAGAAAGGAAGAGGAGGAGAGGCGGAAGAGGGAGAUGGAGGAAAGGAAAAGGAAAGAGGCUGAAGAAAAAAAGAAAAAGGAGGCAGAGGAGAAGAAAAAGAAAGAUGAAGAAGAAAGACAAAAAAGGGAGAUGGAAGACAUAAAAAAGAAAGAGGAAACAGAGAAAAGAAAAAAAGAAUUGGAAGACAAGAAAAAGAAAGAGAUGGCGGAGAAAAAUAAAAAGAGGGAAGUGGAAGAGAUGAAAAAGAAAGAGGAGGUACUGAUAUUCUUUGUGCCGAUCCAUUUGAUUUGUUUGUCACACUUUACGUUUUUUUUCUCUGCACAAAUGUUUGGUUCAGUGCAAAUAUGUUUUUGA
ensembl:lncRNA